GUUGGGUAGGGGAGCGUUCUGUAAGCCUGUGAAGGUGUGUCGUGAGGCAUGCUGGAGGUAUCAGAAGUGCGAAUGCUGACAUAAGUAACGAUAAAGCGGGUGAAAAGCCCGCUCGCCGGAAGACCAAGGGUUCCUGUCCAACGUUAAUCGGGGCAGGGUGAGUCGACCCCUAAGGCGAGGCCGAAAGGCGUAGUCGAUGGGAAACGGGUUAAUAUUCCCGUACUUGGUGUUACUGCGAAGGGGGGACGGAGAAGGCUAUGUUGGCCGGGCGACGGUUGUCCCGGUUUAAGCGUGUAGGCUGGUUUUCCAGGCAAAUCCGGAAAAUCAAGGCUGAGGCGUGAUGACGAGGCA
rnacentral:rRNA from 1 species